rnacentral:rRNA from 1 species
GAUGAACGCUGGCGGCGUGCCUAAUACAUGCAAGUCGAGCGAACGGACGAGAAGCUUGCUUCUCUGAUGUUAGCGGCGGACGGGUGAGUAACACGUGGAUAACCUACCUAUAAGACUGGGAUAACUUCGGGAAACCGGAGCUGAUACCGGAUAAUAUUUUGAACCGCAUGGUUCAAAAGUGAAAGACGGUCUUGCUGUCACUUAUAGAUGGAUCCGCGCUGCAUUAGCUAGUUGGUAAGGUAACGGCUUACCAAGGCAACGAUGCAUAGCCGACCCGAGAGGGUGAUCGGCCACACUGGAACUGAGACACGGUCCAGACUCCUACGGGAGGCAGCAGUAGGGAAUCUUCCGCAAUGGGCGAAAGCCUGACGGAGCAACGCCGCGUGAGUGAUGAAGGUCUUCGGAUCGUAAAACUCUGUUAUUAGGGAAGAACAUAUGUGUAAGUAACUGUGCACAUCUUGACGGUACCUAAUCAGAAAGCCACGGCUAACUACGUG